rnacentral:rRNA from 1 species
GACGAACGCUGGCGGCGCGCUUAAUACAUGCAAGUCGAGCGAGAACCGGCCCUUCGGGGCCGGGGACAGCGGCGAACGGGUGAGUAACACGUGGGUAAUCUGCCCUCGGCACCGGAAUAGCCCGGGGAAACCCGGAUUAAUGCCGGAUAGCCUCUCGAGCUCUCGGGCUCGUGAGAAAAGGUAGCUUCGGCCUCCGGCCGAGGAGGAGCCCGCGGCGGAUUAGCUUGUUGGUGGGGUAACGGCCCACCAAGGCGACGAUCCGUAGCUGGUCUGAGAGGACGAUCAGCCACACUGGGACUGGGACACGGCCCAGACUCCUACGGGAGGCAGCAGUAGGGAAUCUUGCGCAAUGGGCGAAAGCCUGACGCAGCGACGCCGCGUGCGGGAAGAAGGCCUUCGGGUUGUAAACCGCUUUCAGGAGGGACGAAGCCACUCGGGUGAUUAGCCCAGAGGGUGACGGUACCUCCAGAAGAAGCCCCGGCUAACUACGUGCCAGCAGCCGCCGUAACAC